GCGAGCCUGUGAAGGUAAGCAAAUCUCAAAAAUAAACGUCUCAGUUCGGAUUGUAGUCUGCAACUCGACUACAUGAAGCUGGAAUCGCUAGUAAUCGCGGAUCAGAAUGCCGCGGUGAAUACGUUCCCGGGUCUUGUACACACCGCCCGUCACACCAUGGGAGUUGGGAAUACCCGAAGCCUGUGAGCUAACUUUUAGAGGCAGCAGUCGAAGGUAGAAUCAAUGAUUGGGGUGAAGUCGUAACAAGGUAUC
rnacentral:rRNA from 1 species